GACAGAAAAAGACCUUCACUUCAAGAGAAGAAAUACUUUCUCGAUAGCUUCAAACGUUUGACCUUCGACAUUGAAGCUCCUUCAAAACAGCUUCAAGCGGCAACUUCAAGGGACUAUCAAAUAUUUUUCUGCGGUAUUCUCCACGCUAUGAAAGUCGAAGGAAGAAGCAGAGUCAACGAAAGAUUAAGAGCAACUGGAAUAACUGGUAGAAAAAAACAAACAAGCAAAGGGCCAAUAGUUCUCAAUAGUGACGACAAGGGGAAAACAGAGAUAAUGACGAGGGAUCAAACAAAAAACAUGCAACUCCAAUAACUAACAACAAACGAAAGUGCGAUGCUUCUACAAUAGAGGUCAAAGUUCAAGCAAACAAACCAAGGAUAAAGAGCAAGGUCAGGAUUAUUUGGAAAAAAAAAAGAAGCAAGGCCAACAAGAAAUGUUAAGGGUUGAAAAUCUUAUAGAUCUAAAUUGCGAUGCAGGAUGUGAAAAAAAAAUAAAAUAGAACUAAAUAAGAAAAGGAGAAAGGACGUAGUAGAAGAAGAAGAGCAACAUGAACUACAUGAGGGAAAUGUAUGAUAAUGUAGAUUUUAUGAAAUAAUCUAUUAAUUACAGUAUAUUUGUAAA